rnacentral:rRNA from 1 species
GAUGGACGCUGGCGGCGUGCCUAAUACAUGCAAGUAGAACGCUGAAGGAGGAGCUUGCUCUUCUGGAUGAGUUGCGAACGGGUGAGUAACGCGUAGGUAACCUGCCUGGUAGCGGGGGAUAACUAUUGGAAACGAUAGCUAAUACCGCAUGACAACAGUUAUUGCAUGAUAACUGUUUAAAAGGGGCAACUGCUCCACUACCAGAUGGACCUGCGUUGUAUUAGCUAGUUGGUGAGGUAACGGCUCACCAAGGCGACGAUACAUAGCCGACCUGAGAGGGUGAUCGGCCACACUGGGACUGAGACACGGCCCAGACUCCUACGGGAGGCAGCAGUAGGGAAUCUUCGGCAAUGGACGGAAGUCUGACCGAGCAACGCCGCGUGAGUGAAGAAGGUUUUCGGAUCGUAAAGCUCUGUUGUAAGAGAAGAACGAGUGUGAGAGUGGAAAGUUCACACUGUGACGGUAGCUUACCAGAAAGGGACGGCUAACUACGUG